rnacentral:rRNA from 1 species
UGCAAGUCGAACGGUAACAGGAAGCAGCUUGCUGCUUCGCUGACGAGUGGCGGACGGGUGAGUAAUGUCUGGGAAACUGCCUGAUGGAGGGGGAUAACUACUGGAAACGGUAGCUAAUACCGCAUAACGUCGCAAGACCAAAGAGGGGGACCUUCGGGCCUCUUGCCAUCGGAUGUGCCCAGAUGGGAUUAGCUAGUAGGUGGGGUAACGGCUCACCUAGGCGACGAUCCCUAGCUGGUCUGAGAGGAUGACCAGCCACACUGGAACUGAGACACGGUCCAGACUCCUACGGGAGGCAGCAGUGGGGAAUAUUGCACAAUGGGCGCAAGCCUGAUGCAGCCAUGCCGCGUGUAUGAAGAAGGCCUUCGGGUUGUAAAGUACUUUCAGCGGGGAGGAAGGGAGUAAAGUUAAUACCUUUGCUCAUUGACGUUACCCGCAGAAGAAGCACCGGCUAACUCCGUGCCAGCAGCCGCGGUAAUACGGAGGGUGCAAGCGUUAAUCGGAAUUACUGGGCGUAAAGCGCACGCAGGCGGUUUGUUAAGUCAGAUGUGAAAUCCCCGGGCUCAACCUGGGAACUGCAUCUGAUACUGGCAAGCUUGAGUCUCGUAGAGGGGGGUAGAAUUCCAGGUGUAGCGGUGAAAUGCGUANAGAUCUGGAGGAAUACCGGUGGCGAAGGCGGCCCCCUGGACGAAGACUGACGCUCAGGUGCGAAAGCGUGGGGAGCAAACAGGAUUA